rnacentral:rRNA from 1 species
GGGACAACCCGCCGAAAGGCGGGCUAAACCCGCGUACAUGCCACCGGGGCAUCCCGGAGGCAGGAAAGGCUUCGGCCGGACAGGGAUGGGCAUGCGGCGCAUUAGGCAGUAGGCGGGGUAACGGCCCACCUAACCGACGAUGCGUAGGGGUUCUGAGAGGAAGGUCCCCCACACUGGUACUGAGACACGGACCAGACUCCUACGGGAGGCAGCAGUGAGGAAUAUUGGUCAAUGGUCGGGAGACUGAACCAGCCAAGCCGCGUGAGGGAUGAAGGUACAGAGUAUCGUAAACCUCUUUUGUCAGGGAACAAAGGCGGGGACGUGUCCCCGGAUGAGUGUACCUGAAGAAAAAGCAUCGGCUAACUCCGUGCCAGCAGCCGCGGUAAUACGGAGGAUGCGAGCGUUAUCCGGAUUUAUUGGGUUUAAAGGGUGCGCAGGCGGUCUGUUAAGUCAGCGGUCAAAGCCUGGGGCUCAACCCCGGCCCGCCGUUGAAACUGGCAGUCUCGAGUUGGAGAGAAGUAUGCGGAAUGCGCGGUGUAGCGGUGAAAUGCAUAGAUAUCGCGCAGAACUCCGAUUGCGAAGGCAGCAUGCCGGCUCCACACUGACGCUGAGGCACGAAAGCGUGGGUAUCGAACAGGAUUAGAUACCCUGGUAGUCCACGCAGUAAACGAUGAAUGCUGGCUGUCCG